GUGAGCAGAGCCAGCUCGCUUAGAGGCCCUACUGCAUCCAUCAGAGGUGGUGGUGUGAACCUACCUGCAAAAUCUCUAGCCCCUUGUGCCACGCCCAUGGACCUCGGUGCCACCUGAAGAAGCUAGCUAUUUUCCAGGUCCUACCUAGUGCAAGGACCCUUCAUGGACCAUCAUCUGGUGUAAAUCCAGGUCCACGCCUAAUUAAUUCUUUAAUGUACAAUGUAACAUUUAACUUGGGACAAAGCCUUUUAUUUAGUUUCAGAACAGGAGGAGGAGAACCAAAAGAAAAAAAGGGUAGAAGAAGAAAAGAAAGAAUCAGGGAAAGAGAGCUUCAAAGUUGUGAAUGGAGAUUCUUUCUAUUUCUCUUCCCCUUCCCUCACUUUCUUUUGGAGUUUUUGAUUUCUGUAAAUUGUAUGGGACUCCCUGGAAAUCCAAGCUUGUGUUCCUCUUAGUUUUCUGAUUAUACAUCCUUUGCCACAAAGAAGAAACAAAACAGAGGAUGAAUUGCAUUGGAUAUUGAUGGAGUUGGUGAAAAGGAUCAGAAAGCAGCAACCUCUUCACACGGUCGAUGGAUUUGUUCCACCUAUCACUCUAUGGUACGUUACCUGCAACUUGGUUUUGAGGCUGUAUGAACACUCAGACGUUGACUCAACCUAUGGUGGGAAGUGAUUUGCCCUUUUUAUUCAUUUAUUUUAAUAUUUAAUGGCCUAUUUUUCAAUCAAGAAAACACAGUCAGAUGUCAUACUCCUAGUAAUUCUGGGAUAGUCAUGGUACUACCAUUUUAUCAAGUGGCAGAGCAUAUUCACGCUAACCCAUGAAGACCCCACUCCUCUAAAAUGUCCCUGUUCUUCUCAAUCUUUAAGGGCACAAUAUUCAACAAUAUCAAUAAUGCAUCCACAGCUUCUCUUCCUCCAUUAUUCUUAUCUGGCAAACUCCUAGGCUUCUUUAACUUCACUUUCUACUUCAGAGAAAAUUGAUAAAUAUUUUACAAGUACUUUUAGAAUGGUGAAUUCAUAUACCAUAUCCCCGGAAUGGGCCAUGUUCAUGUCAUCUUGAGGUUUUCUACUUUAGAGAAAAUUGAUACAUAUUUUACAAGUACUUUUAGAAUGGUGAAUUUUUAUACCAUAUCCUUGGAAAUAGGUCAUGUUCAUAUCAUGCCGAGGUAAAAAGUAACGAUAAAGUAAUGAUAAUUUAUGUGAUUCAAAUACGAAUCAUUUAAUAAUUAUGUUAAUUUUAUUUACAGCGUAUUUGAUGGUAAUUCUAAAAUGCAUUUUUAGUCUUUGAUCCUAAAAUUAUUAUCAAAUAGAUUUUUAUUUAAUACCAUUAAAUUUAUUAAUAUAAUUUUAAACCAAUGGUAUAUGAGAAAUAAGAUAUGGGUUGGCAACUCAUGGUGAAUUCAUGGACCAACAAUAUCCCACUUUCACCCAUUCAAAUUGGUUAUGUUUUUGAGAUGCUGCUCUUCAAAUUUACUUUUCCCUUUUCCCUUUUCCCAUUCGGAUUCUACAAGAUCCAACCAUUUCAAAGAGCAAAAUUGACAAAAAGAAAGAGUGGAGGGUUUUGCAGAGGGGAAAAACUAUACAGCGUAAUGAAAAGAAAUGGAAAAGGUCGGAGAGGGGUCCAGAGGUAAGUGAAGUGGCAGGGUGUGACUGGGCAAAUAAGGCUACAAAGCCCACGGCAUAAGUUUUGAUUCUUGAAAGCCGCUCCCUACCCUCUAGCCUCUAGCCUCUAGCCUCUACUAAAUCUUCAAUUUGCUUCUGAUUACUCAUAAUCAAGCAAGCACCAUUUAUUAUCCACUCCUACAACCCCCACUCUCUACCAUGUCGCGUGCCCCGCACUAACUCACAGAUGAAAUUGGUAACAAGUAACCACCACGUAAAUGCGCGUGAAAUGUAUCCUACCUGUCAUUUGUAGCACUACUACUAGUGUAGUAAGUGGCAUUUCUCUCUCCUAUUAAGCACAAAGCAACAGAGAAAGAAACAACUUCUUCUCUCCCUUUUGGGCUUUGGCUCCUCUGUAUCCUACUAUCCUCUUCUCCGCUCACAAGCUCUUUCCUCUCUCUCUCUCUCAAAAUUGAAGUGAAAGAGAAAAUAAUGGUUUGGUUUGAGCCUUGAGGGACCUCGUCUUCUGACACCCAUCUCUGAGUCUGCUUGCUUUUUCCUUCAAUUCUUCACUACUUCCCUUAACCUCCAUUUUAUAGCGGGAAACUCUCCAUUUUUAUCAGUUAUGUGACACAUGAUAGGAUCAUCAUACUCUGCAACUUUUCCAAGGCUUCCUUUUUCUGCUGCUGCAGACAUUACCAUCUCGUUUACAUUCUGGGUUCAUCCAAAACUGCCUUUUUCCCGUACUACUGCAUUACGUGUUCCAGGCUUCCAGCUUUGCUCUUAUCGAAAUCACCCACCUUUUUUGCUCUGUUCUUGCUCGGAAGAAAUCUAUUUCUGAAUUUAGGCGAAAGGGAGAAAAGAUAAUAUGGGUUGUGGUGCGUCCAGGCCAGACGAGGAUGACGACGUCGUGUCGCUUUGCAGAGAGAGGAAACGGCUCCUGAAAUCUGCGAUAGAGCGCAGGUACUCGCUUGCAGAUGCCCAUUCCAGAUACAACGACUCGCUCAACGGAGUAGCGGCCGCCAUAAAGUUGUUCGUGGCCCGCCAUUCAUCUCCUCUUUCUCCGUUCCUCAUCACCUUCCCUACCGCUUCUGACACCGACGCCACCCAGCCUUCAAACCCCAUGUUCCUCCAACAGACACCUUCUGAAUCGACCCAUGAGGCAAUUGGAUGUAAAUCAUCUGAUUCCGUAAUUUCCUCCGACUCUUCUGAGGGAGAGAGUGAAAAUGAAGGUGAAGAAGAAGGAGAAGGCGGCGUGUGUGACCACUUUUACGAAGGAAUGGCUCCGCCAGUGCCGUUGCCGCAGGGAGAUUUUGAGUGGGAUUUCUUCUAUCCGUUUGAUACAGUGAGAACAGAGGUGGGUUUGGACAAUGGGUUUAGGCGAACCUCUGAUGAUGAUGAUCUGAGGAGAAUCAGACAGCAAGAAGGCAUCCCAGAACUGGAGGAAGAUGGAGCAAGAGAGAAAGGAGAGAGAAAGGUUGUGGUACAGAUGAAUGGUGGUGGGGUUGAGGGUAUGACAGCAGCUGGUGAACCUAGUCCCAACCAGGAGCACAAGGGUUUAAGGGUGAUUGAUACGGAGGCGAGUGGCAGAGAAUUACUGGAAGCAUUAAAGGAUGUUGAGGAUCAUUUUGUUAGGGCUUAUGAAUCUGGUUUUGAUGUUUCCAGGUUGUUAGAGGUCAAUAGAGUUCAUCUGCUGUCCAGUUUGGAGGAGAUUAAAGGUGUGUUCCUUUUCUUUUUUGCUUCAUAUCUUCUGCUCUGUAUUGGCCUGUUGUCAACUUGCAAAUGUAAUUUCUAAUUGGCUUCAUGAGAAAUUUUGAUGGAAUUAAUACUGAUUGGAAUAUGGAUCAGCUAUAUCAUUGAAGAAUUUGCAGAUCAUACAAUGAUUAAGGUUGGUAGGUCAAAGUGGCAUCACUAGAAUAUAAAGAAAGAAGCCACUUUUCAUCAUUUUGUGAACUAGAAUUCUCAAUAACAAAGCAUAGAUAUUUUUGCAUAGCAAAUGGGAGUUCUCCAAUUUAAUGUGUCUCUUUUCGAAAGAGGAAUCCUCCCCUUGUCUUUUUCCUAAUUUGUUUUCCCCCAUUUUCUUCUUGAAUUCUUCUCCAAUUAUUUACCACUUUGUUUUCAGUUCUCCUUGUCCUUUUAACUUAUUGAAUUCUAUAAAAAAAAUAAUGUCUUUUUUGAUUGGAAGUUGUUUGCUGUACAUUUACCAAUCUAUGCCAUAUGCAGUGGGUUUGUUUGUUAAUUUAUGCCAUUUGAAUGCAGAGAGCCCAAAGAAGCUUGUACGAUCAAUCACGUGGAACCGAUCCAAUUUAUCUCGGUCUUCAUCCUCAAAGACUUUUCUUGCACCUGGUUCCAAAAGUUCUUCUACUUGGAGUGAGCUUGGGAAUGAUCUCAUUGAUGACUAUGAAGGAAUGGCAUCCGGCAGCCUUUCACAAACGUUGGAGAGAUUAUAUGCUUGGGAGAAGAAGCUCUAUGAAGAGGUGAAGGUAAAUUACUAAUCAUCAUUUAAAUCUUAAAAUCUUCCCAUAAUUUUGAUGAUUUGAUCUAGCUGCUGAACCCUUUCUCCUCUACUAUCACAGAUUACUGAUAUUAAAUCCUAGCACAUAUACUUUCCUAUAUUUACUGUCUCCUAUUGCCUAUAAAUAGAAUCAAGUAGUGUGAAUUUGUUCUAAAUUGUCCAAAUGAUCCUCAAUACUCCUGCUAUUUCUAUGAUUAACAAUUUUAUUUUCUAAUCCUUGUUAUGUUCACCUCUUUGUUUGCUCCUCUUUUAAAGUCUUUUAUGGUGUUCUGAAUGGCUUUUGUUUCAAAUAAUUUGACUUUGAUGUCUAGUAAUUUAUAUGCUGGAACGAUAAGCUUAUUAGAAAUCAUUUGGUGUCAGAAAAGGAUCAACUGAUGUCCAUAUAGAAAUGUAGGUCUAUUAGAUAUAAAAUUGUGGAGCAAUUUGAAAUAGGAAGACACUGAAUUUCUCAUGAGAUGAAAAAUGUGCCUCUUUUUAGCAUCACAAACUCCUGAAGGCAUGAAGGCUUUAUUUGUUUAUGCAAAUAUGAAGUGGGCAAAAAUUUGCAUAUAUGCUGGUGGAUUGGGUGCACAUUCUAGUGCUUUAACUAAUAUUUGUUUAUUAUUAAGAUUUAAAAAGAAGACAGUUUCCUUCAUUUAGGGGAAGUAAAGGAUUUUUACGAUAAGUUGAGAUUCCUCAGAUGAUUUUCCUGAAUUCAUUUUGAGAUGCUCAGGCUGGAGAUGAGACGAGGAGAACUUAUGAGCGAAAAUGCUCACAUUUAAAAAAGCAGGAUGACAGUGGAGAUGGACUCCAUUCUGUGGACAAGACCAGUGCUGAAGUAAAUGAUUUAUAUACCAGGAUCUUGGUUGGACUGCAAAGUGCUGAAUCAAUCUCCAAAAGAAUCGAGAAACUCAGAGAUGAAGAAUUGCUGCCCCAACUUGUUGAGCUGCUACAAGGGUAAGAAGAGGAGAAAACCAUGUUAGAAGAUUCUAUAAGCCUGAAAUUUUCAAAUGCAGUGGUUGACUUAAUCCUCAUUUUUGCUGAACUUGUGCAGCCUCAUAAGAAUCUGGAAGAUAAUGUUGGAAUCCCAUGAGACCCAAAACAAAAUCAUGUCUGAAGUGAAGUCUUUCACCUGUCCCUCUUAUGGAAAGUUCUGCAAUGAUUCUCACCGUCUUGCCACCUUUCAGCUUGAGACAGAACUUCAGAAUUGGCGUGCAUGCUUCGCUGAAUAUUUUUCUGCACAAAAAGCCUAUAUCGAAGCUCUCAAUGGAUGGCUAUCCAAGUUCAUUGCCCCAGAAGUUGAAUUCUACUCCAGGAUCAAGUCUUCAGGUCCACCAUAUGAAAUCAGGGGUCCACUAUUGCUUGUGAUUUGUCGUCACUGGUUAGCUUCCCUAGAGAAGUUGCCAGAUAAGCUGGUAAAGUGCACCAUGAAAAGCUUUGGCAAGGAUAUAAGGGCUAUAUGGGUUCAGCAAGGAGAGGAGCAACAACAAAAGAGAAAAGUUGAUGGACUUGCAAAGGAGCUGGACAGGAGGGUUCAUGCAUUCAAAAGAGCACAGAGCAGGAUUCUUGAGUCUAAGGUACCAGAACAAAAUAAAGAGGCAGAUAUCCGUUAUCGGAUUGAAUACCUGUCGGAGAGAGAGGGCCAGUUGGAUGAUUUCAGGAAAAGGCUGGAUGCAGAGAAGGCUAAGCACCUUGGUAGCAUGCAAGAGACACAGCAAAUAACUCUAAAUGCAUUUCAGAUUGGAUUUUUCUCAGUUUUCGAGUCGCUGACAGAGUUUUCAAAGGCUUCUCUUAAGAUGUAUGAUGACCUGGUAACAUUCUGUGCCAGUUAUCCAAAGGUUGGAGAUGAAAGGAGUGAUAAACCUUGUUACAUAAUGGCAGAUAUGGGAAACUAGAAAGGAUUUGGAAUGAAGAUAAACUUAAUCAGAUGAAAACAGCCAGUUGAGUUGAGACAAGUAUUUAAGGCUGAUAGCUUUUUAUUAUUUUGUUUUUAAUUUUCUUGGAUAGUGCGUGCUUACCAUUGUAGCUGAUGAAUUCUAAACCCUGAUUCCUUCAUGUUUCAUACCGUUACCCCAGAUUCUGCUAAGACUAAUAAGUUUAUGUGAACUCAUUUGCCUCUUUCAUGAUUGUGCUUUAUUUAGACGGGAUUUCUCAGCCCCUACUCCAGAGAUUGAGCCUUUGACUGAAUAGGAUAUACAAAUCAUGGUUAGUAGCAGUCCCUCUGUUUUUUUAAUAGGAAAAAUAUUCUACCAUUAAAGAUAGUAGACAAGCAUACAGAUUACAGGUUACAAUCAUGCAGAUAAUAGGCAAUUUGACCAGACAAGAUGAUUCACAUCAAUGUGCUCACUAUACAUGAGCAUAGUGCAAAAUCAAUGAUGAGAUGGCUCCACCUUAUUAGUUUCCUCAGAUACUCCUCUCAAAUUGUUCUUUAUCAACAUCAAUGCUAAUGCUAUUAGCCUCCAAGCACCUUAAACUUGUGCUCAUGGAGAAGAGGCUAUCCAUCUCCACAUGAAAUCUUUGAAAUCCAACCCCAUCUAUGCUUACAGAGCUUUGAGAGAACUCAUGGUCAGUUGAUCUCCAAUGCCGGGGAUCUGUUGAUCUAUGAGACCCACCGGUUAAUCUUUGAGAGCUGCUUGAAGGCUGCUUAUGAAUGAAGUUGUCAACUGAGUAGAGAGCCAACUCCAAUUCCUGCCACACCUGGGUCAUUGUGGGACGUUGUUUAGGCACCUUCACCACACAUCUUAGACCAAGCUGCCCCAUUUUCAGCAUCAUUUCCAUGUUGCAAUGUUCUAACAGUAGGUUGGCAUCUAAGAUGUCUUCCACUCUGCCCUGCUCUAAGCUAGGCCUUGCCUGCAAGCAAUGAUCCCAUUUCCCAACCUUCAUUAUAAGACAAAUUUCCUGAUAAUUGAAUCACUCUACUCUAUAUUGAAAAUGGAAUCCUCCAACAUGAAAUCAUAAUAGAAGUUUUGAAUCUAGAUGAUCAUGGCUACCAUUUUCUAUAAUGAUCUCUUCUGUCAAAUUGUGCCUUAAGGAGGGAUGCUUACCCAUUCAAUGACAUGAAAAUUGAGAUUGUUUUUGGCUAUAUCAACUGCAGGCCGUGCAGAAACCAGUUGUAGAAGUAUCACUCCAAAGCUGUAAACAUCGCUAAAUGGACUCAAAUGAAAGCUUGAACAAUAGGCUGGGUCGAGGUAUCCUGGUGUCCCUUUAACCUGGCUACUAACAUGCGAUUGAUCCCCAAUUGGACCUGUUUUCACUAGCCCAAAAUCUGAAACUUUUGCUUCAAAACCUUCUCCUAGUAAUAUGUUACUAGGUUUUAUAUCCCUGUGGAUUAUGCUAGGCUUUACCCCUUCAUGCAAAUGAGCUAUACCUGCAAAGUUUCACAAUUAAUUUGAAGACCUCUUGCUGUGAUGAUAUUAUGCGGAAAACCUUACCUUUAGCUGCCCCAAUGGCUAGGAUUACUCUCUGCCUCCAAUUUAAGCUCCUCCCUUUCCUUCCUAUACAGUAAUAUUUUUUCAGAAAAGUGAACAAAACAUUACAGGUCACAGAAAGGAGAACGAGUUCAAACUUACCCAUAAUGUAUUCAAGCAGAGAACCAUUUGGGACAUACUCAUAAACUAAUAUUUUCCCCCCUUUUGCCCCUGUCAGAUACACAAUUUAACUAUUUCAAGAGUGUAGUUUCCAUCAUUUUAAUGCACAAAUUAGUGGCAAUAAUGGAAUACCCUUCUAGACAGUUAAACUAAUCUUUUUUUUUUCUUUUUCUACAUACCAGUUCCUUCACAAAACCCCACCAAGCCUACAAGGUUGUCGUGCUUUACUCUUGAAAGUAGCCUCACCUCUGUCUCAAGAGAACACUACAGUCAAAUCAGUUACUUUAAAAAAUUAUGAACUAAUACAAGCUGCUUGGUUGCUUGGCCAUGGAAAUGGGCAUGUAGAUUGAAGCUUACCAUUUCUAAAUUCUUCAACAGGGUAUGAAUCAGAGUGGGCCACUUUGAUAGCUAGUGUUCCUUCCACGUCGAAUGUCCCUUUAUAAACAUUCCCGAAUCCACCAUACCCCAGCAAGCAAUCUUUGCUAAAAUUCUGGGUCGCCUUGUCCAGUUCUUCAAACUGGAACCUCCUCAAAAGUAUUUUCUCUGCCUUCAAGUUUCCUGCUGAUUUUUUCCCCAACACCUCAACUAGUGUCAGCCUUUUUAACAUGAAAAAUUCAUAGAACUAAAAGUAUAAACCAUAAUGGACAAAAUGAAACAAUGUUGAGGAAGAAUGGCUCAUAAGUUAUAACGACUAAGCUUGAUGGCUUCAAGCAUUAAGCUUCUUGACACAUAAAAACUGAAGCCAUUCUUCCUCUUAUAAGCUCUCUGGGUGCACAAAUAAUAUCAGAGACUAACCUUUCCGAGCCCAUUGUUGCCUAAAAAUAGGAAAGAUUUUUCUCCUGAUGCAGAAAUAUAACACAGCACCCCCCACUGCUGUUAUCACGCAGGCGAUAACUAUUCCCCAUAUAUUCAGGGUGAAACUGGAUUUUGCAGCCGAGGGAGGUGCUAAUUCUGGUGAAGGCACCACUACAUGGUAUCUAAUUUCCAUUUUGACUUUAGGAAGUGUUCAAUUUCUACAGACCCUUCACAUGUUCUCCUCCCUUGAGUGAACCUGCUCUGCGGAGAGAAAGGAAUAUAGAUGGAAGAAUAUAUUGUUGGUUCACAAAAGAUUAAUGUGUGGCCGGCAGUAUAUACAUUCAAGCCCUUCUCUGCCUGUCACAAUUAGGACUCGGUCUUUUCCUAGGACGGCAUAUAGGCCAAGGGAACUUGUUAAAAAAGGGUUCCAGAACCAGCAUUUUGAUAUAUGAAAUCUCCAUUUUAUUUGAAGGUCCAAAAGCGAAACAUGGAAACCAAUAUUCCAUAAACUCAUCUGUCAAUGCAUCGCUAUCUGUGUGUCAGUACUAAAAAAAAUAAUGGUAGUCAUGCAAGGUAGCAGUGUUGAAUUAUGGAUCACCAUUUGAAAGCUACUACAAUUAAUUAGUAGAAUAUUCAUAUCCAAUCAAGUAGAUAAGAAUCCAUCCGCUAAGUCCCAUAGACUAAUGAAGUAUCGCAAGUUACUACUUCCAUAAUAUGUCUGUUUGCCUUUGUUUCUCUCUAAUGAGUCGAGUAAUAAAAAUUUCUAUCAACUAUUAUCCAUUUGCUAAGUCUAAAUGUUCUAGUCAUGGAUUGUUGUGGUGCAGGAAGAUUCUCAUACAGGGUUAGGCACUCAGUUUGUAAGUAAGACCGGAGAUUUAAAAGCUUGUAACUUACAUAACUUCCACUGCAGUUAGAUCCAACCUUGAAUCUUUUCUUCAGGUGGGAGAAGACUAGCUCAAAGUCAUUAGCUUGAUAUGUCAUAUAUAACAUAUCCCAUCUAGUUUCAUCACUGUUCAUGUUUUGCAAUUUAUUCAGGCUGAUUUGUAGAUUUUCCUUUGAAUUUAUUGGCACUGGACUGCAAACAGGUGGCUUCAGGGGCUCCAUGGAUCCCACAUAGUGGAAAUGAUCACCUGCUCCUGUAUCUUUUCCAGACGUAUAAGUCAUCAUUCAGAAAAUUCUCCAAAAAUUUUGUUGAAAGGUUGGGAAGUUGGAUGUAGCCUUCCAGUUUGAAAGUUCUUGUUUGUCGGCCAAAGCCAAAAAGCCUUCUGGAUGGAUGCCUAUGGUAGAUUCCUUUAUGAAUAAGUAGUUUAUUGAUUGUUUGGUAGCUUUGAUAAUCACAUAUGAUGCCUGCAAUUAAUGAAAUUGAUCUGAAAAGUUGAUCAUUUUUGUGACCCAACAAAAGGUUUCAUUUGCUUUGAUCAGCCAACAAAAGUAGUUUAUUGAUUGUUUGGUAGCUUUGAUAAUCACAUAUGAUGCCUGCAAUUAAUGAAAUUGAUCUGAAAAGUUGAAUGAGUGUAUUAAUAGGCACAAGAAGUUCAGACAAUAUCUUAAAAUUUAUGGAUAGAGUUCCUGAGGACCUGCUUACAAUUGGAACAGUCCUCUCUAAUCCUUCAGGUUCACUACUCUCUCCUGCUUGUUCUGCAACUAGGCAAGUAACAGAUUUUGUAACUCCGAUCCUUUCAUAAUAUGAAUGACCCCACCUACCCAAUUUAUCGGGGUCACCUACCAAUUUUAGACUCAGAGAUCAGGUUCCAAUCAAUCUGCUUCACAAGCCAUGUAUCAUGAGAAUCUCCACCUAGAUGUUGGUUUUUGAGGGAACUACCAUUAAUGAGAAAUACCAAUUUUGAAGAUCAGUCAACCUGGAGGAGUGCCAUACAUUGAGUUGUUCCUAUAGGGUAUAAGGUAGGGCUUGCCUAGAACUUAUGACCCAUGGGAAGAAAGAUGAAAUGGGACUGGAAAGAAAGGGGAAUUUAAGGAAGCUUUACCAAUCCUGAUAACAAAAAAGGGCACGGGGUCCCAACAGGUAGCAGAGCACUUCACCAGCAAAGUCCUAGACUAAAUCAAAUCCCAAGUAGAUGUAAUGCGUCCAAACAUUAAAAAAGGGUAACAGAAUGGACAAAUGAAGAAUAGCUACAAGAGUCUUGGUGUCAAGGCCAUGAGCUUUCUCAUAUAGAGAUUCUGAGUAAGACCAAUUCAGAAAAAACAAGAGGAUAACUCAACUAACAUGAAAGCCCCUCCAUAGUUUAAUAACAAGUCUCUUUUUCUUCUUGGAUGUUAAUAAAGUGUUAGGCCUGUUGUGCAUCCUCUCCUACUCUCUUGGUUUUCUGUAAUCAAUAAAAGAUCUCUUUGAAGAAAAAAAAGGCAUUUCAGAAUAAGCAACAAAGCUAUUAUAACUCAAAAUUUUUGUACAUAUCGCUAAUCAAGUACAAUGAACAAACUCGUCAUAUUACAUACCUGACCUACUAGAGAAAUGGUAUAGACGGAGUUUAAAUGAACAAAAGAGAAAAAUCCUAAGGAAAAAAGUUAAUACUGAUGAAGAAUCAAAGAACUCUUCUCGUGUUGUGAUUUGCAGAAAAUAAAUUACAGAUCCCUUCUGCAUAGAGGGCAAGAACCGUGUCCAAGGAGCCACUUAUCAAUGCAUGGCAGGUGAAACAUAUGGUGACAAUGGGGCAAACUUCGGACUGUCUCUCCAAGCUGAAAGUCCUGAAAAUGCAGAAGUUCCAAUUUCAAUUAAAUAAGCUUCUAUACAAAUCACUGAAAGCCUAUUUAUUUAUAAGAAGGAGAAAUUAUGUAGAGGAAAACUUAUGGCUAUACCUGAAGGCACACUGAGCAAGAGACCUUCUCUCCAGAAGCAUCCCCAUUAUUAUCACUGGUGAUUGUGAUCUUUGGGAUCUUUUCCACUGAAUCUCCAGGCAAACCCUUGGCCCCACCAGUGUCAAAGAUGUUGGGAACCUCAUCAUAGCUAACUUCAACAGCACCCAUCUGGUUGAGGACAUUGAAAUCGUAAGCAAACAGCAAUGGACAUUUCUUAUCUUAGAUUUAACUAGUUAUUACUUGAGCAACAAUAAUACCUGACUUUGCACUGCACUUAGCAUGGCAGGACCGAUCCUCUCACGAACGAGUCUACCACUUAGCAGGCUUACAAUAACAUCAAUCUGUACAAUUCAAGAGAAUACAUCAAUUGGGCAUUAAAGAUGAAAUUUAUCACUCGAUUAAAGCUCAGAAAUCAAAUCCACCCAAGUCAUUAAUAUAAGGCUCAAACAACUGUUAUAUUUCUCUUCCUUUUCCCACCCAGAGUCCAUAAUUCACCAACUUAUCCCCUAACAUUAAAGCAUAUGAUCAAUGGGGCAAGAAGCCAAAUUGCUCACCAGGUAGAGCAGACAUCCAAUCCCUGACUCAUCAGAUUGCCAGAGAACAAGAGAAGAUUCAAAGACCUCAAUAGAGAAAACAGCUCCUGAUAUUGCUCCAACAGCAGCCCCUCUAACAAACCCGCUCUCUGUCUCUUGGCCUAUCAAAGCUCCAGUCAUGGCUCCCAACAUGGUACCCACUGCAAACACAAAGGCCAAUUCAAUUAUUGACAGUUCUAAGAAAAUAUAUGGUUCCUGGAAUUAAGGUGUUCUUCCUUUUGGGGGAACUGGUGAUUUAUAUCUUAAAGAAAGCCCAUGCUCUGUAUGCAGAGCCCUUUCAUUUUGAUUAUAAUCCCAGGCCAUUUCAAGUCAAACCAAACCAAUGACAUACCCAUAAAUCCAUUUCCUUGGAAAAUAAAAUUUCUACAGAAAAUUUAAAUUCAACAUCCCAAACAUGAAAAAUCAAACCCCUAAAAGAAUUUACAUGUAUCUCAGUUUAUCAUGGUGGAAGGGACUACUAAUUUCAUACAAACACAACCCUCCAAUUUCAAUUUCCUGCAAAACCGACCUAAGAGAACAAAGACAGAUCCCCGGCCGACAUUUAAUAAAAAGAAAAGUCACAGAAUUCAUUGACAGCCAGUUUAAUUUCUAAGAAAUCGUAGAAAAAAAGAAAUAAAAACUCGGAAUCUCAUAAGAAUGUAGAAAUGAAAUCCUUAAAUUGUCCCUGACUCCUACAAGAUUCAGAAGUUUUCUUUCCCCCUUUACAUAAUUCCUCGGCAACCAGCAAAAAUGGGAAUAGAGUAUUAAAAAGCCGAAAGAACAAAGAAAGGAAUUGAGAAGAAGAGACAAACCCAAUGCGAAGAAGAAAGUGAAGAUCGCAGAGAAAACGUUUCCAAGAAUCGCAGAAAAAGCAAAGCUGAAAAAAUCUCUGACCCUACCCACCAAAUUGGCAAAGGAAAAAGAAGGCCAAGAAUAAGAAUGAGAUGGGUAUGCAUAGAACUCCAUGUUUGGGGUGAGAUACUGUUAAUCAACGCAGUGGGUGGAGAGGGGUGGUGUGUUUUUUCUGAUCUAGAAAUGGGGUUGAGCAGAACAGAGGUAUAAAAAAGCUAAAUAAGGUAGGCUUAGUCGUUAAGAGAAGAUGAAAAGAAACCCAUACACCAACUCGCAUUUAAAGCCUUUUUCUUUUCCUCACAUAAAUUGCAAAACUUUCUUUGCUGGAUCGGAGAAAAUCAAAAGGCUUAGUUGAAAAAAAAAAUACAUUUCAUUUUCAAAGGCACGAGAGAAGAGAGAGAAGGAAGCUUCAUUUGACAAAUUGAAGGGCUUUUUUCAGAGUAUAAUUUGGCCACAAAAUGAUCACAUGAGACGAUUUAAUUUUCUAUCACUCGUUUUUCUGAGAGAAAGAGAGAGAGGGAGAGAAAGCGUGUAGGUGGAUGGAUCCUGUUUCCCAUGGUUGACGUAUAAGAGGGAGCUGAUGUAGGGGUGUAUGACCUUUGGGUCUGGGGCUUUGGGGCUUUGGGGCUUUGGUGUCUACUCCUCAUCCGUCACCACUCACCACUGUGUUUUAAUGCGUGCUUGCUAUUCAAAAUAUCUUCCACUCCUCCCUUCCUUUUUCUUUGGGUGUGGCUCCUUGCCACCGACCCCCUCGCUAUGCAUGAACUAAGUCUACGCUUGUGGUAAAGUUUGAUACGAUUUGUUUACUUGAUUCCAUUCAAAUUUGACAUAUUCUUUCAAUCGGUUUGAAUUGAAUAUAAGAAUAUAUAAUCAUGUUUUAAAUUCUUACCCACUUAACUAACUUUAAUCCUAAUAGACUUAUUUAAUAAUUAUGGUAAUUAAUUUAAUUAUAAUGAUAACCUAUUUAUCUCCUAGUAGAUUAAUUAAGUUAUAAAUAUAUUUGGAGGUUAAUCAUUGAAAAAGAAAUAUGUUUGGUAACUAAGAAAAGGAAAGAGAAAGAAAAUGAUGGAGCCAAUAAACGAAUAUUUGAUGAACUAAAUUUUUAUUUCUCAUCUUUGGAACAAAGGAUGAAUCCUUUUUAUAUACAAUGAGAAGAGAGUGUUUAGUUAUAAACAUUGAAUAUUGGGCACUUGUGUAAACAUAAAUGAAAAAAAUAAAGAGGAUUUAAUAUACCAAAUUCCUCAACAAUUGUGUCAAUUGACUAAUUCACUUUCUUAAAACACAAUCACAUUACCAACUCUUAAAUACUUCCAAAGUUUUAAUUUUUUUUUUGUAAGUUGGUGAUUAAACUAUAUAAAAUUACAUCAACUUAGAAAUCCAAUGUGUAGAGAAAUUCUUCACCUUGAUUUAAAUUUAUAAGAGUUAUAUCAAAUUUUCAUUAGGUAUUUUUAAUUGUUUUUAAAAGUUAUUUUAGUGUAUAAAUUAUUUUUAUUACUCCAUAAAAAAAUUGCAAUUCAAAACAAAUAUUCCACUAGACAUUAGUUUUUAAACCUUUGUUGUAAAGAAACCUUAUUUACAAAUGUAUUAUGUUGACAGAUCGGAGGUUGGUUGCAUCCAUUAAUUCUACUUGUGUUUGAAAGAUGUGAACACUAGGGUGAAUGUUAAGAUUAGAGUAUGUAUCUUUUUUUACGAUAAUUGUCUUUGAAAGAGUUGAUGACGUUUGAGGUCUUACAACUAGGAGUGUCUUCUUCACCUUGAUUUAAAUUUAUAAGAAUUAUAUCAAAUUUCCACUAGGUAUUUUCAAUUGUUUCUAAAAGUCAUUUUAGUGUAUCAAUUAUCAUUAUUACUCUAAAUAAAAUUGUAAUUCAAAAAAUAUAUUCCUCUUAUAUUUGAGUUUUUAAAGUUUUGACGUAAAAAAAAAAACUUUAUUUACAAAUAUAUGAUGUUGGCAUAUUGAAAGUCGAUCACAUCUAUCAACUCCAAUUGCAUUCGAAUCUUGUGAACGCUUAAGUGAAUGCAUUAUAAAAUUAGGGUAUAUACCUUUCAUAACAGCAAUUACUUUUAGAAGAAAUGACAGUGUCUAAGGUCUUAUAAUUGAUAUCAGAACCUAAGUCACGGGUUUAACCCUUAGGCUGUCGUUGGAGGUCAGGUUUUACAUAUUAUUUCGGAAUUUGACUUACUAAUUUAUUUCUUAAUUGCUUGGUAAUUUGGGUGACCACCAAGUUAUAAUAACUACAUGGAAGGGAGGAUCCGCAGACUGAAAUAGAUAAGGCAGGAGGCCGAGGACCAAGUCCGUGGGUGGGGGCGUGUCAUCUGAAACCCCCAAUUCAUCUCUCAUUAAUACACAUAUCCUAAGCUUAACUCCGAAGCAAGCAUCAACAACGACCCAUAAAUAAGUACUUGGUGUUAUCUGUUUUGGGAUUUUUCCUCUCUUUUGUUUUGUUGUUUUCAUCAAUGAAAACAAUUUUCAUUUGAAUUUUCUUUUUCAUGUGUGGGAUUGGCGGAGCUUUAUUUAUCACCUGACAAAUAUCCUUCUCAACUAUUGAUGACUCACCCAUCUUCUUUUAAGCUUUUGACCGUUUAAUUAGCGUGAAAAUUUGAACAUUCAAAAUCAAAAUAUUUGAUUUUGCCCUUAUUACACUAUUAAUUUUCGGUUCCCAAAAAAAUAAAUAUGAAUAAAAAUAAAAUAUAAUUGAAAUUAUAUGAAAAGUUAUAUAUUUUUAAAUUAUUCAACCUUUAUAUAAAAAUGAAAAAAAAAAUAAGUGAUAUGAAUUAUAGGAUAUAAUAAUAAUUUAUUUUUUAAUUUCUUGGAUGUUUUUUUCCCUUUAUUUUGCUUUUCUUGUAUUUUCUCUCAAAUAUUCUCGGAUUCAACAUAGCCUAAAAGUUUAAUCUUGUAAGAACUUAACAUCUUUCCUUAUAGGUAACCUCUUUUUAAAAUAAGCAUAUAAUGAUCUUUCAUUAGAUAAAUAAUAUUCUGAUAUCGUGUUAAACAACCAAUUUUUUUUAAAAGUUUAAGCUUAUAGAAUUUAGGUUUACAAAUAAUCUCUUUUUUAGGCUUACUUAUGGACUUAAUAAAGUAGAGAAAUAAACUUGUCAUGNNNNNNNNNNNNNNNNNNNNNNNNNNNNNNNNNNNNNNNNNNNNNNNNNNNNNNNNNNNNNNNNNNNNNNNNNNNNNNNNNNNNNNNNNNNNNNNNNNNNAAUUCUAACUAACCUCUAAAAUCAUAUGAUUGUAUAUAAUAUUUCACAUUGAAUAGAGAAAAAAGUUUAUAACACUAUAUAUAUAGUAAACUCUUUUUAAACGAAUAAAUAUAUAUUAUAGUUGUGUGAGCUCGUUGAAUUUAGAAGUGACAAUAUCAACAUGGAAAUGAGUAAAUUGUUAGAAAUAGUAUCAAAGUCAAUUAUCGACUUUGGUAUGAGACUUGUUCAUCUAAUCUCAUAAGAAAUAUUAGUUUGUCUAAUCUCAUAAUCCUGAUAAAAGAAAAAGUUCCUAAGAUUACAUAUAUACGGACUUUAUAAAUACGUUCUAAAGCAUGGUGGUUUGUUGAGCCAAAAGCGAAUAAUACCCAUAUGUGGAUCAUUAUAAAUGACACCAAAACUUAUAUCUGUUAUUAAGGCAUGGCUUUGUCUGAUCGUGUAAGAGGUAUUCGUCAAUUUGAUUAGCUUUAUAAUAUUGUAAAAUUCAAUGAAAAUGUUACGUUUGUGUAAGGAGUAAACAUGAUAUUUAAUAUUAGGCGAUAUAGUGAGCUUUUUUUUAUUUUUAUUUUUACGUAUUUUAAAAUUGUGAAAACCCAUCAUCUUAUGGUGAGCAAUAUAGAUGUGUGAGGGAGUGGGGCAUUAGAUAGGAUGUUUGAAGGACGCGUUGUGCAUAGAUUCUAGAUUGGCAUGCAGCCAUCGAAAAUGAAAUUGGGCGAGCAGGCUAUUUUCCAAGAGUUGAAAUUCAGAGUUGUAAAGCAAUUGGUUUAAGGAAACACGUCUUUAAGGGGCAUGGACUUAGACCAAUUACGUGUAUUCCAAGAGGGUUACACCCAGAAGGUCUUUUUAAGAGGGAUUCAAAGUAGGGGAUGAAGGAGAAGUGUGAACCCACCUCGCUAUAACAACUCAAAUGUUCAUCCAUCGUGAAUAAGACAUCUUUAAAUUAAUUAAGCUUUGAAACCCUUAUCGAACUUUCUAGAACCUCCCUCCGUUUUCCUUAUUGUUAUGACUUCUUUCUUCAAGUCUUAAAUGCCACAAAACCUCAAAAAUCUUAUACUUGGAUUUACCUACAUAAGUCCAAUUAAAUACUUUUAAGGUUAAAAUGACUUUUUACAUGUUUUAUUAUUAUUAAUUUCGAAUUAAGUUUUUCCAGAUAUUAAUAAAUUCUUUUAAGUUUUUCAUAGUUUAUAUUUAUAAUUUUCAAAAGAUAACACAGCUAUAAUAAAUUUUUUAUUAAAUAUAAAAAAAAUUCAAGUAAGUUAAAGCAACUCAAUUGGAAUCCAACCCCGCCCCUUUUUUUUAAUCUUUUUUAUAGUUUUGGGUAACUUAAUUUAUAAUUUGAGUUAAGGGGUGUGAUAAAACUUAAUAUAAUGACUUCAAUUGAUUUUCAAAUAAAUUAUAUUUAAAUUAGUGAUUGAAAAUUUAUUAUUUAAUUUUUAUUUUAAGUAUUAAGGUUAUUUGAUAAAAUUAACUUAAAACUUAUUUUACAUCAUAAAAUUGAUAUAUUUAUCUUUAUAAAUUAUAAUUAAAGCAAAAGAUACUAAGUAACAGUGGAAGUCGUGGAUAACAAAGGAGAUCAUAGAGAUAAUCAGGACAUAUAAAGAUAAAAAUAUAAAAUAAAAAUAUGAAUUUGAAAAUAAAUUAAUUAUUUUUAAUUAUUAUUUAAAGUUAUUUUUAACUUUAAAUCAUACUAUUAAGUUAUUUUACUAAAUAUAAUAUAUUUAAUGAUUUAAAUUAAGUUAUUAAAUUACUUUACACCGGAAUCGAAUAAAUAAUUUUCAUGUAUGGGUUAAGUUUAGGUCUAACUCCCAUCCCAGAUAUGGAAUCACUAAAGGAGGUAGGCCAAGUUUGGUAAGCAUGGUUUUCAGUUCACUGUACAGAUCUGAGUUUUGUCUCUAGAUUUAUCAAGAGCAUAUUGAAUGAUGUCAUUGGUCUGCAAAUCUCCCUUUCCUUAGGUCAUAAGACUACGUUUCAUUAUUUUAUAGCAUCUCGACUACUAGCCAACCACAAAUAUCUGAAGGGGUAGGUCCUCCUUUGGUGCCUUGGAAGAAAAAACAAAAGCUCCAAAUACCCAACAAAUUAAUCAAAAGAUCUCCUUUCUAAAGCCUUCUACCUCCUCCUCCUCCUCCUCUUCCUCUUCUUCUUUCUUUGUAUGAUAUUGUAUGGCAGGUAGGUAAGCUAAACCACAACCCAAAAAAAGAUUCAACCACUGGCACUAAAAAAAUAAAAAAGGGGGGAUUGGGGGUUUUAGGGUAAGAAAUAAAUGGAGAUAAGAAAGAAAAUAAAUGAGGGUGAGUGGAAGCAGAAGCUGUGUCAGCAUCAGCUGGUGAAGAGGAAAAUGGUGACUGGGCGGUAGGCAGUGGGCUGCCAUGCCUGAAAUCUGAAGUAUGUAGUAAGUGGUAGUGAAUGCGGAAGUCAUGAUUGUGGGGGAGCCUGCAGCUGCCUAGCCCUAACCCUAACAUUGAAAAUUUGAAGAAACUGAAUGUAGUGAGCCAGACAUGAGACAUGAGACAGUAGACACCCAUUCAUCAUCCAUUGCCUCAAAAUAUCUAGCAUCCUCCACUUGGGACUUGGGCUGGGGCAGGCCUGGCCCCACUCAUUGUUUGGGCCAGCCUGGGCUGGGCAGGGUCAUGGCCCUAAAAUUCUUAUCAUUUUUAAAAUUCAUUGUAGCCUUGUAGGUAGGUGUCUAGGAAUUGUAGACAGAAUGUUGGUCCAAUUAUGUAACAUGAUUAGAGAUUUAUACUAGGCAUUAAUCUGGUCAUAUUUGGGAGGUGACUUGAUUAAGUUAUUCUCAACUGUUGAGAUUUUAUUUUUUAUUUUUUGACCUAUUUAGAAAUAUCAAAUAUAUCAAUAGGACAAUUUUGCAUGAGUCACCCUCAUCAUCCAUUAUUAUUUAGAUAUUGAAGGUGAGACAAACAAGAAUUUGAUGCCAUACCUACUAUAUAUAUAUAUAUAUAUAUAUAUAAAUACAUUAUUUUAAAAUAAAUAUCUUAAAAUUAAUUAAUUAAUUAAUUUUUUUCAUAUUUUACUUUCUGUCACAGGCCGAUUCACCCCCUUUGAUUCAGCCCAGCCUAGCCCAGCCCGCGUCCCUCCCUUUUUACAUUAAAGCCCAGUUGGCCCCCUCCCUUUUUAUCAUUAAAAGGGCCCAGGCCCAAUUAAAUAAUUUACAUUUGUUUGACGUUUUCACCUCAAAAUCUCACCUAAAAGAUUUAAACUCUAGGCUUCAAACUCAUUAAAUAAGUUGAGACACCGCUGGAUUACAUCCAACUUGUUGCUUCAUAUAGCAAACAAAAUAAAUAUAUUUUUUGUUGAAAAAAUUAUAAUAUUCAAUAAAAAUAAUAUAAUAUUUUUAAAAUUAUAAAAUUAGUUAAAAUUAAAUAAUUAAAUUUUCUUUCAUUUUCAAUAUAUUCACAUUUAAAUAUUA
rnacentral:lncRNA from 1 species